UACAGAGGUGGCAAGCGUUGUUCGGAAUUACUGGGCGUAAAGGGUGCGUAGGCGGUCCUUUAAGUCAGCGGUGAAAUCCCACGGCUCAACCGUGGAACUGCCGUUGAUACUGAGGGACUUGAGUUCGUCCGAGGUCGCUGGAAUGCGUGGUGUAGCGGUGAAAUGCAUAGAUAUCACGCAGAACACCGAUUGCGAAGGCAGGUGACUGGGACGCGACUGACGCUGAGGCACGAAAGUGUGGGGAGCAAACAGG
rnacentral:rRNA from 1 species